rnacentral:rRNA from 1 species
UACGAAGGGGGCUAGCGUUGCUCGGAAUCACUGGGCGUAAAGCGCACGUAGGCGGCUUCUUAAGUCAGGGGUGAAAUCCUGGAGCUCAACUCCAGAACUGCCUUUGAUACUGAGGAGCUUGAGUCCGGGAGAGGUGAGUGGAACUGCGAGUGUAGAGGUGAAAUUCGUAGAUAUUCGCAAGAACACCAGUGGCGAAGGCGGCUCACUGGCCCGGUACUGACGCUGAGGUGCGAAAGCGUGGGGAGCGAACUGG